GAGUUUGAUCAUGGCUCAGAGUGAACGCUGGCGGUAGGCCUAACACAUGCAAGUCGAACGGCAGCACAGUAAGAGCUUGCUCUUAUGGGUGGCGAGUGGCGGACGGGUGAGGAAUACAUCGGAAUCUACUUUUCCGUGGGGGAUAACGUAGGGAAACUUACGCUAAUACCGCAUACGACCUACGGGUGAAAGCAGGGGAUCUUCGGACCUUGCGCGAUUGAAUGAGCCGAUGUCGGAUUAGCUAGUUGGCGGGUAAAGGCCCACCAAGGCGACGAUCCGUAGCUGGUCUGAGAGGAUGAUCAGCCACACUGGAACUGAGACACGGUCCAGACUCCUACGGGAGGCAGCAGUGGGGAAUAUUGGACAAUGGGCGCAAGCCUGAUCCAGCCAUACCGCGUGGGUGAAGAAGGCCUCGGUU
rnacentral:rRNA from 1 species